UCAAGCAGGGAAACCUUUCAAAUUUAGACCUGAG
rnacentral:rRNA from 1 species